rnacentral:rRNA from 1 species
UACGAAGGGGGCUAGCGUUGCUCGGAAUCACUGGGCGUAAAGCGCACGUAGGCGGAUUGUUAAGUCAGGGGUGAAAUCCUGGAGCUCAACUCCAGAACUGCCUUUGAUACUGGCGAUCUCGAGUCCGGGAGAGGUGAGUGGAACUUCGAGUGUAGAGGUGAAAUUCGUAGAUAUUCGCAAGAACACCAGUGGCGAAGGCGGCUCACUGGCCCGGUACUGACGCUGAGGUGCGAAAGCGUGGGGAGCAAACAGG